UCGUCGUCGCUGGAGCUCUUUAAGUCUUCGGCUUGCCUUACUAUGAACCUCUUAAAUCGAUCUAUUUCCCCUUGUAGUUAUCUCCUUUCGCCAAAAUUUAAAUGUAUCGACGCAGCCUUACGUUAGCCUUAAGAUAUAUAUAUGUUCAUGAGGAGCCAUCAAGCAGACACGUUUCUCAAUUCAAAGAUUUCACAGAUGAUUGAGAUAACACUACUGGCUCUAAAGGAUGACUUGGUUCUGAGACGAAGUAUCGUCUGAUACCUAAGAAUGCCUGAUGAAGACAUUUCACUAUCAUUGGGAAAGAGGUGAUUGCAACUUUCAAUGUAAAGAGACCUCAUAUGAUGGAUGAGAUGAUGCCCAACGAUGGAAUUAAGAUCCAAACAUGCAGCACAACCAUAAGAAGUCCAAAUAGUGGACUAAAGGCUCUGAUGAUGGAAAGCUAGGUACAGUGGGCUCAAACUCUGCUGUAGGGGGAUCGUGGGCUUCUAUUGGAGGUCUGUUAAUCAGCUUGCUGGAAUGGGGUCCUUGGCCAAAUUCUUGAACACUACCAUGAGGAUGGCAUAUUAGCAUGGGCUAAGGUUGUUGAAAAUGAGUGAUUUAUGAUUAGAGCAGGCGAUGACAAAAUUGCAAGAAUAGUGGAAGAGGUUUCCUAAGGAUGUCGGAGCUGAAUGUGAGGGGGUCGUCAAAGGCUGUGAGUCUCUAGCGGUGUGCUUGAACACCACUGUGAGGAUCAAAAAAGGGUUGAAGUCAGGAAUGAUGAAUAUAGAUUUGUGGUGGGGGUAGAUGAUCAUAGUUAACUUGCUGGGGUAGAGGGAUCAGAGGUCUCCGGUGGAUGAAGGAGCUGGGUGUAAGGGGCUUGAACUCCGCUACAGGGGGUCGGCUUUCGUGGCAUGAGCAGGUCCCUGGCAGAUUGCUUGAACAUGGCCAUGAGUUGUUGGAAAUGAAGGAUUUCUGGUUAGAGUAGAUGAUGAUAAACUUGCAGGGGUAGAUGUGGAGGUGUCAUAAGGAUGUCGGAGCUGGGUGCAGUGGGCUAGAACUCCCACACAAGGUAGUCGAUGGCUUGAAUACUGGUGUGAGGGUGAAGCAUUGACAUGGAUUGAAGUUUUUAGAAAUGAAGGAUUGGUGAUCGGAGCAAAUGAUGGAAUGUUAGGGAGGGAGGAGAUGGAGAGAGGAAAGCUUGAGAGUGGAAGAGAUGAGAGAUGAGUUUGAAGAAUUGAAGGAUGAGGUGGUAGUGAAGAUGAUGGAAAUGAAGGAAAAUUGAGAGGUGAUAAAUAGGUGAGAAUGAAUGAAUAGCUCACCAAAGCAAAGACGAGCGGAACCAGCAUUAAUAUUGUGGCUCACUGAAAGAUGCAACUUAGUUUCGAAGCAAACAUGCAUUUACUCUUUAAAGGUUGUUAUUAGUCAACCAAGAUAUUGAGGGAUACAUGUGGCUCACUUUUUUUCCUUGAGGAAUAUAACUCAAAACGAGCAGAUCAAUCAAGCUUAGGGAAGCAUACCGAUUACUUCUAUGUUGAUGAAUAUUUAUGAUGGUAGCACACAACCUGCCCACUAUUAUAUUUAGGGAGAAUAACAAUUAAGGACCUUCUAAGAAUAUUAAUCUCAAUUACGGACCAUGAAAUUUUAAAAUCCUAGUUAAGGACCAUGGUCCUUAAUUAUGAUAAAAAAAUGUAAUUUGUGAGGUGGGAUUCAAUAACGUGACUUGGGGAUUCACUAACCUAGCUUGAGAAAAUUACUAACGUAUAUUGUGAAAACAUGAAACCCUACUUGGAAAUAGAUUAUUUAACAAAAAGCUCCACUUGAAAAUUCACUAAUCUGACUUGAAAAAAUUUCUAUCGUAUAUUGUGAAAAUAUAAAACUCCACUUGAAAAUCAAUGUUUAAUAAAAAGCGCCACUUGAAAAUUCACUAACUAGAUUUGAAAAAAUUUCUAACGUAUAUUGUAAAAAAAUGAAAUCCUACUUGAAAAUCAAUUGUUUAAUAAAAAGUGACUUCUCCAAAUUGAUGUUUUUUAUUAAACAAUCGAUUCCCAAGUAGGAUUUCAUAUUUUCACGAUAUACGUUAGAAAUUUUUUCAAGUCGAGUUAAUGAAUUUUGAAGUGGCACUUUUUGUUAAAUGUUUUCACAAUAUACGUUACAAAUUUUCUCAAGUUGGGUUAGUAAAUUCUCAAGUGACAAUAGUGAAUUCCACCUCACAAACUACAUUUUUUUAUCACAAUUAAAGACCAGAAUUUCAAAAUUUCAUGAUCCAUAAUUGGAAUUAAUAUUUUUAGAAGGUUUUUAAUUGUCAUUCUCCCUUAUAUUUAUUGUCACAUUGUGUUUUUUGUAUUUUUCUAGUUAUCACAAACUCAUCGACGCCAACUUCAUGGCAGCUUCACUUCUUGGUUUUGUUUUUUUUUUUUUUUUCAACUGACUUUAAUAUUCUGACCCUUAAGCUUCAAUAUUGCGUUCGUUUGUUCCUCCAAUG